rnacentral:rRNA from 1 species
UACAGAGGUGCUCAAGCGUUGUUCGGAUUCAUUGGGCGUAAAGGGUGCGUAGGCGGCGCGGUAAGUCGGGUGUGAAAUCUUGGAGCUUAACUCCGAAACUGCAUUCGAUACUGCCGUGCUUGAGGACUGGAGAGGAGACUGGAAUUUACGGUGUAGCGGUGAAAUGCGUAGAUAUCGUAAGGAAGACCAGUGCGAAGGCGGGUCUCUGGACAGUUCUGACGUGAGGCACGAAAAGCGUGGGGGAGCAAAACAGG